AUGGCCCCUCCUCAGAGAAGAAAGGGUAAAGAGACCCAUCCACAGUUUGAGUACAAUGCCAAAAGGCAAAAACACAUCACGCUAAUCCCUGAGAUUAGAACCACACCUACUACAGACGAGAAUGAGAGAACUUGCCUUGCCCUAUCCCUAGCCAAGAAAGCAAAGAAGACGGGGCACCGAGCAAACAGGCCGCGACUCCGCGAGCAGCCAAGGCGGCGCCUUCAUGAAGGUAACGACGCCGUGACGCCACCGUCGCCUGUUCCGGAGGGCCGGAACAAGGGUUUCCCCCGGCGCUCGAGGAGGGACAUGAUCAGGACCAUGGCAGCGCCCCAAGAAGGAAACGGCACCCACAGGCGUCGUCGCUGCCAGCAUCGGCAAGCCGUGCGGAGAUUUCGCCCCGUCCAUGAACAAAGUCCAAACCACCGGAGCCACGACCAGGGAGCAGAUUGCCGGGUGACACCGGACGCCCCCGGCCUCCCCUCCACCAACAGCGACCACGACCGGCCGUCCUCAAAGUAUGAGGCGGACCCGUCGGACCACCACCCAGAGCCGCCGCUCCGGCAUCCGGAAUCCACAGCAGGCCGCGUAGCCUACCGGAAUCCCACCGCCGGGCGCGCCGACCGUCGGACAGAGCCAACCUUGAGCAUCGCCGGCACCACGCCACCACCACCAACCAUCCUCAACCACGCCGGAGAAGGGAGCAACCCAGGCGCGCAACCACCACCGCUCGGGGCUGCCGGCCGGCGCCCGAGCCCACACCACCCAGAGGAAACCGGAUCUGGGCCGGAUGCCCGAGAUCCGUCGCCACCAGCCGCCAAGGCCGCCCCCCACGCUGCCCCUGCAGCCGUGGCGGCACAGCCACCGCCGGAGUCCCCUGGGGCCGCCGCCCCAGUAUCCCGCAUCCGCCGCGCCGUCGGACGCCCAGGGGCGCCGUCGCGCCGCAGCCGGAGGCCUCCUCGCGAGGAACGGAGGCGAGCCCGCCACCGCCGUCAGCCAAGCGAGCUUCGCUCGCCAGCCUCCUCCGGCGGCGGCGGGGAGAGGAGAGGAGAGUCGGGGGCGGCGGCGGAUAGGGUUCGCCCGAGCCGCCCCCCUGGAGGCAGCGCGGGCGACGGGCACCUUCCCAAUUUACACGUGUCUCAUGCAAUUGAUAUUAGAGAGGUUAUUUAUGAACGGAAACCAAGGGCCUGUACAAUGCUAGAUGCGUAUAUGUGGAUGCUUAAGAGAAAGUAUACAGCCACAUCAUCAAUCACUUAUGUUUAUUUUGCUAAGUCAUCUCCAGGCAGCUGCACUGUGCAUGUGCUUAGCGUGAGAAAGCUCAUGACCACUAUCCGCGGCAACCGUGCACGGAUAUUAUCUCAUGCUAAUAGCCGCAUGGAUGAAUCAUGCUCUUGCCCUGGACGCCAAGGCAAGCAUCCGUGCCCAGUGCACGCACCCCACCGCGAGAGCGCCACGCGUCGAGCCACCCACUCAUCCGCAACCAAGACGGCACACACCACGCUGCGAGGGCACCGUGCAUCGAUGCACCUGAAGCAGCACAAAUGUUGUGGAGGAGCAACUCCACCUUGCUGCUACAAUGUGUACAGCACAAGUGUUGAAGGAACAACUUCAACGUGCUGCGCUAGAUAUCGCUCUAGAGGCGAAUGUAGGCCUAUAUGGCAGCAAGAGUUCAAUCCAGAACUCCUAGAGCACAAGAUCUACUCCAAGAUCUUAGAUAAGAACAACAAGUUCUAUUAUAGUGUUCGUGCUAGUGAUCCUCGUCCAGAUAUUCUGCUCUUCAGUCUGGUUAUAUGCCGAAGCAUAUGCCGAAAGAAGGCGUCGCCGGCGACGGCUCCAAGACCGUUGAGCAGAGCUCGGCUGAGGAGGCCCGUGCGGCAAACGCGCUCGUGCUGCGAGGCAGGCCGGGAGGCGAGCUGGGUGCGCCACGCUCCGUGCGAGACGUGGGCAUGUCCAGUACCUCCUUCCCUCUCCUCACGCGGACCAACUACCCUGAUGGAAGUCAUCAUGGAGGUGCGGCAUAUGUGGAAAGCCGUGGAAACCGGCGAUGUCGGGUACGAGGAGGACCGGUUGGCGAUGGAGGCGAUCUUGCGCUCUAUCCCACAUGAGAUGGUGCUCACCCUUGGCGCCAAGAAGACGGCCAAGGAAGCAUGGGACACCAUCAACACUCGAGACCCGCCGCUACCCCAAUCAAAGAGACGAGCGGAAAGGCCCCGCCUUUUGCACCCCUAG
rnacentral:rRNA from 1 species